GCCGACGUGGCCGAACAGUGAGGCGGCGGUUUUGUAAACCGCAUUAUGCUGGUGCGAAUCCAGUCGUCGGCU
rnacentral:tRNA from 1 species